UGGUUCGUUCCAUGAUGAGUCGAGCUACGCUACCAAUCUCAUUCUGGGGGUAUGCCUUAGAGACUGCCGCCCAUAUUCUUAAUCUAGUCCCUACAAAGAAAGUUGCCAAAACUCCUCACGAGAUGUGGACUGGUAAAGUACCUAAACUAGACCACAUCAAGAUUUGGGGUUGCGAGGCUUUCGUGAGACGCGAGACUCAUGAUAAGCUCGAACCUCGAAGCGAGAGGUGUAUUUUCAUCGGUUACCCACAGCGAUCCUUUGGUUACCUCUUCUACAGACCUAGUGACAAUGUGGUCUUUGUAGCAAGAAGAGGAGUCUUUCGAGAAAGAGAGUUUAUAAGCCAAGGAGACAGUGGGAGGCAAAUUGAUCUUGAAGAAAUUCAAGAAUCAAGCGGUGAAGGAACUUCAAACUCUAGCCCUCAACUUGAGGAGGAAACUCCUGUUGAGCCAAUUGACAAAUCUGUACCUCUGAGACGUUCCACGAGAGUUAGGAGUGCACCUGAGCAUUACUAUGGAUUCCAUAUUACUGCAGAAGGUGAGACACUUAUUAGUGAUGAGACACUAGUAAGUCAAGAUGACCCUAACAGCUACGAGGAAGCCAUGGCAGGCCCCGAGUCUGCUAAAUGGAAAGAGGCUAUGGAUAGCGAGAUACAAUCCAUGUAUGACAAUCAAGUUUGGAACUUGGUUGAAAAUGUACCAGGUCGUAAGACAGUAGGGUGCAAAUGGGUCUUCAAGAAGAAGACCGACAUGGAUGGUAAAGUACACACUUAUAAGGCUAGACUGGUUGCAAAGGGCUUCUCUCAAAUUCCUGGAGUGGAUUAUGAUGAGACCUUUUCUCCGGUAGCCAAGAUUAAGUCUAUUCGGGUUCUGUUAGCCAUAGCUGCAUUUCAUGACUAUGAAAUAUGGCAGAUGGAUGUCAAAACCGCUUUCCUUAAUGGAAAGUUGGCUGAAGAUGUUUACAUGAGUCAGCCAGAGGGUUUUGUCAGCAACGAGUACCCUAAUAGAGUGUGUAAGCUUGAGAAAUCCAUUUAUGGAUUGAAGCAAGCACCUCGCAGAUGGAAUCUUUGCUUUGAUGAAAAGGUCAAGGAAUUUGGCUUUUCUAGGAGUGAAGAUGAAUCUUGUGUGUAUGUCAAGGCUAGUGGGAGUAUAGUUAGCUUUUUGGUAUUGUAUGUGGAUGACAUACUACUCAUAGGAAACGACAUUCCAACCCUGCAGGAAGUAAAGUCCUGGCUUGGGAAGUGUUUCGCUAUGAAGGACCUUGGUGAAGCUGCCUAUAUUCUAGGGAUAAGAAUCUUGAGAGAUCGGAGUAAAAGACUAAUUGGACUUAGUCAGAGUACCUACUUGGAUAAGGUGCUGAAGAGAUUCAGCAUGCAGGAUUCCAAGAAAGGAGAGUUACCCAUCCAGAGUAACACCAGAUUGAGUAAGACACAAAGCCCUAGCACUGAGGCUGAGAUAGCAGAAAUGAGUCGAACACCUUACGCUUCGGCUGUAGGAUCGAUCAUGUAUGCUAUGACGUGUACUCGACCCGAUGUAGCUUUUGCCUUGAGCAUGGUUAGCAGGUAUCAGGCGAACCCUGGCAAGGCACACUGGACUGCGGUAAAGAAUAUCCUCAAGUACCUACGGAGGACUAAGGACUGGGUCCUUACCCUCGGUGGGAGUGAUGACUUGAGAGUUGUAGGGUAUAGUGAUGCUAGCUUCCAGACUGAUAGGGAUAAUUUCCGCUCUCAGUCGGGCUGGGUCUUUACCCUAAACGGAGGAGCAAUUUCUUGGAAGAGUUCCAAGCAAGAGACAGUGGCAGAUUCUACUUGUGAAUCAGAGUAUAUUGCAGCUAGUGAAGCAGCAAAGGAGGCGAUAUGGCUGAAGAACUUCAUUGGAGACCUUGGAGUUGUACCAGCUAUUAAAGAGCCAAUGGAAAUUUUCUGUGAUAGUGAAAGUGCUGUUGCCUUAGCCAAGGAACCAAGGGAUCAUGGGAGAUCCAGACACAUCGACAGAAAAUACCAUUUCAUUAGACAUCGGAUCGAAGAAGGACUCCUCGUGGCAAAGAGGGUAUCAUCGGAUGAGAACCCAGCAGAUCCCCUCACGAAGGGACUGAGUAGGGUUAAGCAUCUCCAGCAUGCUCGGAGCAUAGGGCUGAAGGAUGAUAUAAGUUUUAGUAGUUAGAUAACCCAGAAAUUUGUAAAGUGUAAUUGACAUUUGAUGAUGAAUAAAAGGUGUUUUAUUUAUGAGUAAAGUGUUGCUAUCUCUUGUCGAUCGUUUACUAUAUUUCUUUUGCAUGUUUUGACUUCCAGAAUAAUUUUGUUUGGUAUAACAUAUUAUUCAAACCUCCACAGUCGGUCAUAUGUUGGAAGUAGAUAUGAAUCAAGACUGUCAUGUUUGGUUGUAGAGGUCUUGGACAAGGCUACAACAAUCAUGAGUGCUCAUAAGUUCUGAGCAUUGGACUCAACCCACGCUCACUGGAAUCACUUCAUGGAAUUCUAUCUCGAGUGAUCGUGAGACGGUAAUAUCAUAUAAGUCUUCAAACCUAGAGAUAUGAUUUGUUACUUACAAGUUGGUUAUGCAUUGACUGUACGAAACCGCAUUGGUAACUCGAUGUUAUAAAACGUACUUUUGUGUGUAAUUCAAUGAGUGGUAGAACAAACAUAUGAGUCGAAGUUUAUCUGUUCCUUCUUGGAUUAGAAGCUGAUAUCUGGGCCCCUCGAUGAUUUUGUUUUGACCCAUGUACCGGGCCCGGUCAGAACUAAGUUGAUGUGUUCAAUUAAGUUCUAUGUCAAACAAAUCGGAAAUCGGGAAACAAAUGCUGGACAAUAAGCAAGACAAUGUUCCAUGUAUUUGUCCGGCUGAUAUCUAGAACGGAGGAUUAUAUGAUCACUUAUCUUAAAUGGCGUACCAUCAUCUUCUCAGUUCCGAGAGACCUUGAAAGAGCUACGAUUGCCGGUCGGUUCCUGAAGUACUAGAGAUAUAGUUAUUAGACUUAUCCAAGUGGGAGACUGUUGGAUAAGGUGUCUAAGUCCAUAACUAUUUCGGGCUUGUACUUGACCCGACCCGGCAUGGUCCAUUUGGGUUGCAUGGCACCAUGCAAUUGGAUAGACUAAAUGAGAGAAAUAACACUUGGAGAUUAUUAAUAUAUUAUAAGUUCUAAUAUAUUAAUAAUAUUAUUUGAUUAGUUGAUCAAAGAAUUAAUUUGGAAUUAAUUAAGUGAUCAAAGGAUAACUAAUUAAAUAUAUGGGUUGAUUAUGUAAAUCAUCCAUAUCUUGUAUAGUGGGCUAAGAGGCUCCAUGGAUUAUCAAGUUGGGUUCUACCCAUAGGAUGCUCCAUGGAUGCUCCAUGGGAGUUACAAACCCAUGGGUCAUGGAAAUGAAGAGUCAUGACACAUUAGGGUUUACAUGGUGUAACCCUAGAUGUGCCAACACUAUAUAAGAGUCCCAUUCUCCACAAAAUUGGCUACACAAGUUGAACACUAAGAAACUAGAGGGCUUGGCCGAUUUUGAGAAGUGUGUGUUAUCUCAAGAGUCUUUCCAAGAGCAUUUGGUGUUGUGUGAAGCAUUUGAGGCAUCACACUUGGGGUGCUAGGCUCACAAGGUUUCAAGGAACACAAGCAACAACAAGGUAAGUUAUUCUAUCUAUGAUUCAAGUUAAAAUUGUUCCCCAUGUAUGCUAGAUAGGAAUAUAACCUUGGAAUUCAACUUUGCAUGAUAAUUAGACAAACAUAGAUCCAAGGUUAUUAGGGUUGCAUGUACACUUAGGAAGUGUUAGAAUGCUCAAAACCCAUCAGUGGUAUCAGAGCCUAGGCUUGUUUGUUUGUUAUUUGUGCUUAAAAGUUGAAGAAAGUCGAAAAUUCUGCUGUCUGACUGAUGGACUCGGCGAGUCCAUGGGGAGGACUCGUCGAGUUCAUGUGUAUCUUCAACCUACUCGGCGAGUAGGUUUAUGCACUCGGCGAGUAGGGUCGACAGAGUGCAGAAUUUCGACUUGAGUUGCUGGAAAUGGAUUAGAAUCAUUACCCUAAAAUGUUUUGGUACUUGAAAACUUAUUUUAGAAGGUGUAAUGUCUUUUCUAACUCAUUUACAACAACUAGUUAUCAAAAUUACAAAGAUUAAAUGUGAUUUUGAUUCUUGAAAGUGUUCAUAUUCAUAUUCUUGUUCUUAUGAUGUUUAGAUGAUCAUAGGAAUUAUUUGUAACCUAUGUGGUAGAUUAAUUCAUGAUCAUAAUGUGUUUUAAUGGAGUCCAUAACUUGUCCUCAAGUUAUGGAAAACCAAAAGUCUCUUGGAUUAAAAACCAUUAAAAGAACACAAGAGUUAGGAAAAAUGAAAAGUCCUCAUUUUAUUACUCUAUUAAACUCAUAAGUUACAAGAAAUGAAAAGUUUUGAAAGUUUACAAAACUUGCCCUCAAGUUUUGGAACAAGUAAAGUUAAGUUAAAACUUUAGUUCCAACCCCUAGAAUUUUAAAAGUUAAAAUUCAACCCUUAUACUUAUAUUAUUAUGAUUUAAUAAUUAUAUAUAUAUGUAUAAGAACAAAGUCGUCUUACCGCUAGUACGCCUCAUUCACGAAGCCGGUCUAUAAGGUGGGUAUAAGGUUGUUGCCUAUAAAAUGGUGACUUAAUGGGUGUCCACUCUCACCCACCGCUUGCUUGAUCGGUGGAGGGUCGUUAGCCGAACGGGUAAGACAAGGACUUAUUAAUUCUCAUUCAAAGUAUGAUGAAUAUUAUAAAGUAACUAAAUGUUUUAUUAAAUUCCCAAUCUUAGUUACUUUAGGAAAAAUGUGAAUAAGGUGCUAUUCCAUGAAAUUACACUUUACACUUUGAUUAAGUCGUUGGUGGAGCGUGUGUGGUUAACCGGCACACUAACUUGGACUUAACAAGGUAGGUAAAGGGUGACUUAGGGUUUAUUAUAGUAUCGAUGGAGCGUGUGUGGUUAACCGGCACAUCGAUUGAGUGAUAAACUUUAAGGGUACCAAGUGAUUUGCAUGGUUACUUCACACCUCGUUUUGUGAUCCUCGGUAUCCCAGUCACAAAACUUGGAGGGCACACUCGAGAUUGAAACAUGCCUUUGAAAAGUUCAUUGAAUCUCAAAGAAUCUAGGAAUUUCUAAGAACCAUUCAAAAACCUAAUACUAAAAUAUUGCGGUUUUCGUGGUGGAAAUUGGUGAAUCGUCAUUCACCUACCUUUCAAAUAUGAUAUAGCUUAGAUUACGGCAUACCUCUUCUAAGUUAUAUUAUAUUGUGAUUGGAUCCUAGCCUUAAUAUUACAUUUGGGUGUUUUAUUAAGGACUCUCUUAUAUCUAAACUAAUCUUGUCCUCUUUCCUUCAGAUGUCUUUCAACAAUGCUUCUGGCUCUAAUCCUAAUGGCUCCUUUACCCUUAUGAACUUGUGUGGGAAAGUCACCUUUGAUGGAUCCAACUUCAAUGAGUGGAUCAGAAACAUCAGGAUGAUUACCCGCUACGAGGACAAAGAAUAUGUCCUUGACAAGGAGCUUAAGGAGAUUGAUGAGUCCACUGCAACUCCUCAGGAGAUCGCUGAAUUUCGGGCACAUGAAAGGGAUGCUACGAAAGUGGCUUGCAUCAUGAUGGCCACGAUGACAGCGGAACUCCAAAAGUCUUAUGAGGAUUUCUACCCUUAUGACAUGCACCAAGAUUUGAUGGAAAGAUACCAUCAAAGUGCAAGACAAGAGAGGUAUGAAAUCAUCUGCUCCAUGAUAACAACCAUGAUGAAGGACGGGGAAUCCGUCACGAGCCACAUGCAGAAAAUGCAAAGGUAUGUGGAUCGUUUGCUGAAGCUUAAUGUGAACUUCCCGGAGGAUCUUGCAAUAGAUAUUAUUUUGCAUUCCUUACCAUCGUGCUAUGAUCAAUUCCGCAUGACAUAUCACAUGAACAAGGAAGAAGUCACCCUCAGCAAACUUCAGGGACUUCUCAAGACCGCAGAAUCAGGUCUUAAGGGGAAGUCGGUUGCUAUCACUCCUACUCAAAACUCUACUCCGGUUUUGGCAAUCGGGAAAAGUCGAGGGAGGAAGAGAAAGAGCUCUUCUAAGGGUACCAAGGCUCGGACCCUUGAUGGCUCUUCUUCAAGUGGAACCAAGAAAGGUUUCAUUACUCCUUCUUCUGACCCAAAAGAGGCUGAAUGCUUCUAUUGCCAUGAAAAAGCUCAUUGGAAGCGGAACUGCCCAAAAUACCAGCAAGAUGUGAAGGAUGGGAAAGUUAAACCCAACCAUGCAGGUAUUUACACUAUCAUUUCUAAUAACUCACCCCAUUCUAAUUCUUGGGUCCUUGAUACCGGGUGUGGUAUUCACAUUUGUUGUGACUUGCAGGGACUAAGAAGAAGUGAGGAUGUGGAGCAAGGAAGGAUAAACUUGAUCAUGGGGAAUAGGAAAGCUAUACCUGUUACCAAGAUUGGAGUUUAUACUUUAUCGCUAAGUAGUGGGUUUAGUUUAGAUUUGAAUAAGUGUUGUUAUUCGCCAGGAAUGGCAAGAAAUAUUAUUUCCUUUCAUGCUUUGUACAAACAAGGGUUUACCUUUUCAUUUAAUAAUGAAGUUGGUUCUAUAGAUGUUUUCUAUAAUAAUGUUUUUUAUUUUAAAGCAUUACCUUGUGAUGGUGUGUAUGAAGCUGUAUCUGUUGUAGAUAACUUAGGAAAUAAUGUUUUGUGUAUUGAUUCUACUAAUAAUAAUAACUUGGAUAAAGCAUCAUUAUGGCAUUGUCGUCUUGGACAUAUAAGCAAGAAACGCAUAGGCCAACUCCAAAAGGAUGGAGUCUUGGAGUCGUUUGACCUAAAGUCAGAUGAUAGUUGCGAAUCAUGCUUACUUGGAAAAAUGACAAAGUCACCCUUCACAGGUUCGUGUGAGAGGGGUGAAGGUUUGUUGGACCUUAUACACACGGAUGUGUGUGGACCAUUCAAACAUGCCACAAGGGAUGCUAAUCGUUAUUAUUUGACUUUUACUGAUGAUUACAGUAGAUAUGGAUAUGUCUACUUAAUCAAGCAUAAGUCAGAGACUUUCGAGAGGUUUAAGGAAUUUAAACAGGAAGUCGAGAAUCAAUUGGGCAGGAACAUUAAGAUGCUUCGAUCCGAUCGAGGAGGUGAGUAUCUUAGUUCAGAGUUCCUCGACUAUCUUAGGGAAUGUGGGAUUGUCUCACAAUUGACACCUCCCAGGACACCACAGUUGAAUGGUGUGGCUGAGAGGCGUAAUCGAACCUUGUUGGAUAUGGUUCGUUCCAUGAUGAGUCGAGCUACGCUACCAAUCUCAUUCUGGGGGUAUGCCUUAGAGACUGCCGCCCAUAUUCUUAAUCUUGUCCCUACAAAGAAAGUUGCCAAAACUCCUCACGAGAUGUGGACUGGUAAAGUACCUAAGCUAGACCACAUCAAGAUUUGGGGUUGCGAGGCUUUCGUGAGACGCGAGACUCAUGAUAAGCUCGAACCUCGAAGCGAGAGGUGUAUUUUCAUCGGCUACCCACAGCAAUCCUUUGGUUACCUCUUCUACAGACCUAGUGACAAUGUGGUCUUUGUAGCAAGAAGAGGAGUCUUUCGAGAGAGAGAAUUUAUAAGCCAAGGAGACAGUGGGAGGCAAAUUGAUCUUGAAGAAAUUCAAGAAUCAAGCGGUGAAGGAACUUCAAACACUAGCCCUCAACUUGAGGAGGAAACUCCUGUUGAGCCAGUUGAUGAGCCUGUACCUCUGAGGCGUUCCACGAGAGUUAGGAAUGCACCUGAGCAUUACUAUGGUUUCCAUAUUACUGCGGAAGGUGAGACACUUAUUAGUGAUGAGACACUAGUAGGUCUGGAUGAACCUAACAGCUACAUGGAAGCCAUGGCAGGCCCUGAGGCUGCUAAAUGGAAAGAGGCCAUGGAUAGCGAGAUACAAUCCAUGUAUGACAAUCAAGUUUGGAACUUGGUUGAGAAUGUACCUGGUCGUAAGACUGUAGGGUGCAAGUGGGUCUUCAAGAAGAAGACCGACAUGGAUGGUAAAGUACACACUUAUAAGGCGAGACUGGUUGCAAAGGGCUUCUCUCAAAUUCCUGGAGUGGACUAUGAUGAGACCUUUUCUCCAGUAGCCAAGAUUAAGUCUAUUCGGGUUCUGUUAGCCAUAGCUGCAUUUCAUGACUAUGAAAUAUGGCAAAUGGAUGUCAAAACCGCUUUCCUUAAUGGAAAGUUGGCUGAAGAUGUUUACAUGAGUCAGCCAGAGGGUUUUGUCAGCAACGAGUACCCUAAUAGAGUGUGUAAGCUCGAGAAAUCCAUUUAUGGAUUGAAACAGGCACCUCGCAGGUGGAAUCUUUGCUUUGAUGAGAAAGUCAAGGAAUUUGGCUUUUCAAGGAGUGAAGAUGAAUCUUGCGUCUAUAUCAAGGCUAGUGGGAGCAUAGUCAGUUUUUUGGUACUGUAUGUGGAUGACAUACUACUCAUAGGAAAUGACAUCCCAACCCUGCAGGAAGUAAAGUCCUGGCUUGGGAAGUGUUUCGCUAUGAAGGACCUUGGUGAAGCUGCCUAUAUCCUAGGGAUAAAGAUUUUGAGAAACAGGAGUAAAAGACUAAUUGGACUUAGUCAAAGUACCUACUUGGAC
rnacentral:lncRNA from 1 species